rnacentral:misc_RNA from 1 species
GAUGAAGAACGUAGCGAAAUGCGAUAAGUGAUGUGAAUUGCAGAAUUCAGUGAAUCAUCGAAUCUUUGAACGCACAUUGCGCCCGCCAGUAUUCUGGCGGGCAUGCCUGUUCGAGCGUCAUUACAACCCUCAGGCCCCCGGGCCUGGCGUUGGGGAUCGGCGGAGCCCCCCGUGGGCACACGCCGUCCCCCAAAUGCAGUGGCGGUCCCGCCGCAGCUUCCAUCGCGUAGUAGCUAACACCUCGCGACUGGAGAGCGGCGCGGCCACGCCGUAAAACACCCAACUCUUCUGAAGUUGACCUCGAAUCAGGUAGGAAUACCCGCUGAACUUAAGCAUAUCAAUAAGCGGAGGA